UUUGUAUCCUCCAUCCCAUAUUAAGUGUCGCAACUUUAUCUAGAUACGCAUGUACCUAGACGCGUUUUAGUGUGUAGGUACAUGCGAAAGUUGCGACUUGCGACACUUGAUAUGGGACGGAGGGAGUAUACA
rnacentral:pre_miRNA from 1 species